UACAGGGGGUGCAAACGUUGCUCGGAAUCAUUGGGCGUAAAGCGCACGUAGGCGGUCUGUUAUGUCGGAUGUGAAAGCCCUUGGCUUAACUGAGGAAGUGCAUCCGAAACUGGCAGGCUAGAGUACUAAAGAGGGUCGCGGAAUUCCCGGUGUAGAGGUGAAAUUCGUAGAUAUCGGGAGGAACACCGGUGGCGAAGGCGGGUCUCUGGACAGUUCCUGACACUGAGACACGAAGGCCAGGGGAGCAAACGGG
rnacentral:rRNA from 1 species